UGUGUGUUAGUGGAAGCGUCUGGAAAGGCGCGCGAUACAGGGUGACAGCCCCGUACACAAAAAUGCACAUGCUGUGAGCUCGAUGAGUAGGGCGGGACACGUGGUAUCCUGUCUGAAUAUGGGGGGACCAUCCUCCAAGGCUAAAUACUCCUGACUGACCGAUAGUGAACCAGUACCGUGAGGGAAAGGCGAAAAGAACCCCGGCGAGGGGAGUGAAAAAGAACCUGAAACCGUGUACGUACAAGCAGUGGGAGCACGCUUAGGCGUGUGACUGCGUACCUUUUGUAUAAUGGGUCAGCGACUUAUAUUCUGUAGCAAGGUUAACCGAAUAGGGGAGCCGAAGGGAAACCGAGUCUUAACUGGGCGUUAAGUUGCAGGGUAUAGACCCGAAACCCGGUGAUCUAGCCAUGGGCAGGUUGAAGGUUGGGUAACACUAACUGGAGGACCGAACCGACUAAUGUUGAAAAAUUAGCGGAUGACUUGUGGCUGGGGGUGAAAGGCCAAUCAAACCGGGAGAUAGCUGGUUCUCCCCGAAAGCUAUUUAGGUAGCGCCUCGUGAAUUCAUCUCCGGGGGUAGAGCACUGUUUCGGCAAGGGGGUCAUCCCGACUUACCAACCCGAUGCAAACUGCGAAUACCGGAGAAUGUUAUCACGGGAGACACACGGCGGGUGCUAACGUCCGUCGUGAAGAGGGAAACAACCCAGACCGCCAGCUAAGGUCCCAAAGUCAUGGUUAAGUGGGAAACGAUGUGGGAAGGCCCAGACAGCCAGGAUGUUGGCUUAGAAGCAGCCAUCAUUUAAAGAAAGCGUAAUAGCUCACUGGUCGAGUCGGCCUGCGCGGAAGAUGUAACGGGGCUAAACCAUGCACCGAAGCUGCGGCAGCGACGCUGAUGCGUUGUUGGGUAGGGGAGCGUUCUGUAAGCCUGCGAAGGUGUGCUGUGAGGCAUGCUGGAGGUAUCAGAAGUGCGAAUGCUGACAUAAGUAACGAUAAAGCGGGUGAAAAGCCCGCUCGCCGGAAGACCAAGGGUUCCUGUCCAACGUUAAUCGGGGCAGGGUGAGUCGACCCCUAAGGCGAGGCCGAAAGGCGUAGUCGAUGGGAAACAGGUUAAUAUUCCUGUACUUGGUGUUACUGCGAAGGGGGGACGGAGAAGGCUAUGUUGGCCGGGCGACGGUUGUCCCGGUUUAAGCGUGUAGGCUGGUUUUCCAGGCAAAUCCGGAAAAUCAAGGCUGAGGCGUGAUGACGAGGCACUACGGUGCUGAAGCAACAAAUGCCCUGCUUCCAGGAAAAGCCUCUAAGCAUCAGGUAACAUCAAAUCGUACCCCAAACCGACACAGGUGGUCAGGUAGAGAAUACCAAGGCGCUUGAGAGAACUCGGGUGAAGGAACUAGGCAAAAUGGUGCCGUAACUUCGGGAGAAGGCACGCUGAUAUGUAGGUGAAGCGACUUGCUCGUGGAGCUGAAAUCAGUCGAAGAUACCAGCUGGCUGCAACUGUUUAUUAAAAACACAGCACUGUGCAAACACGAAAGUGGACGUAUACGGUGUGACGCCUGCCCGGUGCCGGAAGGUUAAUUGAUGGGGUUAGCGCAAGCGAAGCUCUUGAUCGAAGCCCCGGUAAACGGCGGCCGUAACUAUAACGGUCCUAAGGUAGCGAAAUUCCUUGUCGGGUAAGUUCCGACCUGCACGAAUGGCGUAAUGAUGGCCAGGCUGUCUCCACCCGAGACUCAGUGAAAUUGAACUCGCUGUGAAGAUGCAGUGUACCCGCGGCAAGACGGAAAGACCCCGUGAACCUUUACUAUAGCUUGACACUGAACAUUGAGCCUUGAUGUGUAGGAUAGGUGGGAGGCUUUGAAGUGUGGACGCCAGUCUGCAUGGAGCCGACCUUGAAAUACCACCCUUUAAUGUUUGAUGUUCUAACGUGGACCCGUAAUCCGGGUUGCGGACAGUGUCUGGUGGGUAGUUUGACUGGGGCGGUCUCCUCCUAAAGAGUAACGGAGGAGCACGAAGGUUGGCUAAUCCUGGUCGGACAUCAGGAGGUUAGUGCAAUGGCAUAAGCCAGCUUGACUGCGAGCGUGACGGCGCGAGCAGGUGCGAAAGCAGGUCAUAGUGAUCCGGUGGUUCUGAAUGGAAGGGCCAUCGCUCAACGGAUAAAAGGUACUCCGGGGAUAACAGGCUGAUACCGCCCAAGAGUUCAUAUCGACGGCGGUGUUUGGCACCUCGAUGUCGGCUCAUCACAUCCUGGGGCUGAAGUAGGUCCCAAGGGUAUGGCUGUUCGCCAUUUAAAGUGGUACGCGAGCUGGGUUUAGAACGUCGUGAGACAGUUCGGUCCCUAUCUGCCGUGGGCGCUGGAGAACUGAGGGGGGCUGCUCCUAGUACGAGAGGACCGGAGUGGACGCAUCACUGGUGUUCGGGUUGUCAUGCCAAUGGCACUGCCCGGUAGCUAAAUGCGGAAGAGAUAAGUGCUGAAAGCAUCUAAGCACGAAACUUGCCCCGAGAUGAGUUCUCCCUGACUCCUUGAGAGUCCUGAAGGAACGUUGAAGACGACGACGUUGAUAGGCCGGGUGUGUAAGCGCAGCGAUGCGUUGAGCUAACCGGUACUAAUGAACCGUGAGG
rnacentral:rRNA from 1 species